rnacentral:misc_RNA from 1 species
GAUGAAGAACGUAGCGAAAUGCGAUAAGUAAUGUGAAUUGCAGAAUUCAGUGAAUCAUCGAAUCUUUGAACGCACAUUGCGCCCAUUAGUAUUCUAGUGGGCAUGCCUGUUCGAGCGUCAUUAAGUCCACUUAAGCCCUGCUUAGUGUUGGAAGACUGCUCCAGCGGUGCUACCCUGUAGCUACCCUGCAGCUCCUCAAAGACAGCGGCGGAGUUGUGGUAUCCUCUGAGCUUAGUAACUUGUUCUAGCUUUCGAGUACACCACUUCCCCUGCCGUAAAACCCUUAAUUUUUAAUGGUUGACCUCGGAUCAGGUAGGAAUACCCGCUGAACUUAAGCAUAUCAAUAAGCGGAGGA